GUGGAUGAGAUUGAACAUUGCUAAGGGAUGGUAUAAAGAAAGAGGAGAAAAAAAUGGAGAAAGUGAGGCCGAGGAAAGCUAAGUGUAGCCUUGUGACGCUGGCAGUGAUUUGGGAGUGCAAGAACAGCACCCUUUCUCUGACUUUUUUCAACACCGAAGCAUGUCUUGCUGGUCUUGUAAGGCUUGUCUAGUGUAAAUAACAUUACAUCAGACAAAUGUACUGGGUUUACCAGUUCGUUGUAAGUUCCCUGUGAGGUACAGCUUCUAAAUAAACUUAUACAUUUCAGGA